CUAAGCCUACGGGAGGCAGCAGUGGGGAAUAUUGCACAAUGGGGGAAACCCUGAUGCAGCAACGCCGCGUGAGUGAAGAAGUCAUUCGUGAUGUAAAGCUCUAUCAGCAGGGAAGAAAAUGACGGUACCUGAGUAAGAAGCCCCGGCUAACUACGUGCCAGCAGCCGCGGUAAUACGUAGGGGGCAAGCGUUAUCCGGAUUUACUGGGUGUAAAGGGAGCGUAGACGGUUCUGCAAGUCUGAAGUGAAAGCCCGUGGCUUAACCGCGGAACGGCUUUGGAAACUGUGGAACUGGAGUGCUGGAGA
rnacentral:rRNA from 1 species